AGCAGUUGGUGAGCGUGUGACCAGGUGAAUGGGGAAUGUAAUUCUUACAAUGUGAUUUAAUCCCCAGAACUGCCCCUUGCCACUGAUUCAGUCCCUUCCAUGCAGAGAACUGCACUGUGGAAGUACAGACCUCUGUCACUUCAAAUCCACAGCAGGAGCUCAUUUGAAUCCUUUUAAGAGCCUGCUGUUAGUCAAAUCCAGCUCCUUGGUAAAAGGGUGGUGAGCCACCCAUGCUGUUCUAAGCAGGUGAGCUCAGACUUGAUUAUGGAACAGUCUCCUGGCAUAAGUGCUGGGCUUUCUGCCACCUGCUGUACCUGUUCCCACUGUUUCAACCUCCUGUUCUUAAUGUUCAAAAUCCUAAUGCUUGCUUGCUUAUAUUUAUGUACUCUAUUUAGUGAUAAGAGAGUGGCUGUGAUCAGAAAGCAGCUUUCCCAUCAGCCUGAUUUUCAGGACUUCUCACCAGGCACUGCCAGUCCCAGCUCUGUUUUGCUCCUGGCAAGGUCAGUCCUUUGCUCGCUGUCCAGUCCUCUGAUAACGCUGAUUUCCCCCAUUUAAGCUUCUGACAACAAAUUUGUACUUUAUUUUCCUGUAAAGCCAACUUCCAUCUGCCAAGUGAAAAAUGCACAUCCUGUGAGCUGAGGUGAUACCAGGCUUGCAGUUGCCUGUUGGAAUAAAGCUGGUGUGCAGUAGCAAGCUGGCAUAAACUGAGCCUGCACCAGGAGACCAGUGGCAAACAGUCCCCACUGGUACAGUUUAGCCCAGGACCAACACCCAGGAACCUCAUUUUUGGGUAUGGGAGGGGAACUGCACUGAGCAGGUCAAGCUGAUGGUCAAGUACAGAAUAAGCUCUGAAACGGUGCUAGUAGAGCUGUGUGUUGCUAAGAAUUCAUGGGCAAGGGCUGCUUAGAUGGCACCACACCUUGGUAUGUGUGCUGGGGAUAGGGUCUGGACCACUGUCCUGCCCUGCUGGGACGUGGCAGUUUGGACUGGAACCUUCCUCCUAUGGCCCCUUCCCUGCCUGGGCAAUGCACUGCAGCAGUAUGUGCUGGAUCAGCACCUGCUGGAGAGGGAUCUGUAUAGCACUGAUUCCAUGUCCUAAUUGAAGUUCCAGUUUGGAGGUGAAGAAGCAGUUGGAACUGACAGGUUAUCUGAUUUCAGCCCCUGUUCCUUCAAGCCCUGUGCAUUGCUGCUCAUCUUCAUGGUAGUUCACUGAAUACCCAAUGGUAGAGCUUUGCUGCAUGUUUAUGGAUGCUGGAACAAUUCCUUCAGUCUGCUCUACAGCUGAACUGUCUUAUCUCCAUAUUUGAAUUGUUCCUGUUUUCAGCUGCUUGGCAAACCGAUGGCCACCAAGUCCCAAAAUAUUUGCUGUGAAGUACAUGAACAGCUCGAAGCUUAAACAACUGAAAGCUGCUGGUGCCCUGCCUCAGGUGCCAGGCUGGGAGGUGCCAUCAGCUGGUGGGAAAUGCAUGGCCUUGUACAGCCCAGCUCAUCAGUGGCUUCUUGCCUGGACCUGGCUGGCUGCUGCCCUGAAAGACCUGAGCUGAUCCCCAGUGACAGAAGCCAUCAGAACCCAGCAGAUCCCAGGACAUCACUAACAGGACAGGAGGCCGUGCUGCUGGAGACCUUCCUACCACCUGUGGAUGACAAGCCAGGCAGAGUAGAGCUCCAAACCUCAAGAGCCAGCAUCCUUUCUGCUCUGGAAGUACCCAGGAACUACCAGAAACCCCAGUGAAGGAGGACAUUGCUCUGAACUCUGUGUGUGCCACCCAAGGAGGACUGUAAUAACACACAGAGGGAACAACCACAACAAUGA